CCGCGUAGCUCAGUUGGAAGAGCAUUGGGCUAGUAUUCCAAAGGUCGUAGGUUCGAUUCCCACCGUGG